AGAAUCAACGCUGGCGGCGUGCCUAACACAUGCAAGUCGCACGAGAAAGUGGAGCAAUCCAUGAGUACAGUGGCGCACGGGUGAGUAACACGUGAAUUAUCUACCUCCGAGUGGGGAAUAACUGAGAGAAAUCUUAGCUAAUACCGCAUAACACUUACGAGUCAAAGCAGCAAUGCGCUUGGAGAGGAGUUCGCGGCCGAUUAGCUAGUUGGCGGGUAAUGGCCCACCAAGGCAAUGAUCGGUA
rnacentral:rRNA from 1 species